UCCAAUCGAACCCGGAGAUAGCUGGUUCUCCCCGAAAUAGCUUUAGGGCUAGCGUCGAGAGAAGAGUUGCGUGAAGGUAGAGCACUGAAUAUGUGAUGGCCCCAUCUCGGGGUACUGAGCAUAAUCAAACUGCGAAUGUCACGCCAACAUGCUCGGCAGUCAGACAGCGGGUGAUAAGGUCCGUUGUCAAGAGGGAAACAGCCCAGACCAUCAGCUAAGGUCCCAAAAUGUAUGCUAAGUGGAAAAGGAUGUGGAGAUGUACAGACAACUAGGAGGUUGGCUCAGAAGCAGCCAUCCUUUAAAGAGUGCGUAACAGCUCACUAGUCGAAUGACUCUGCGCCGAUAAUUUACCGGGGCUAAGCAUACUACCGAAGCUAUGGAUCCCAAGGGAUGGUAGGGGAGCGUUCCAUGAACGGAGAAGUACGACCGAAAGGACGUGUGGAGAUCAUGGAAGAGAGAAUGCCGGUGUGAGUAGCGGAACGUGGGUGAGAAUCCCACGCACCGAAAACCCAAGGUUUCCAGAGGAAGGUUCGUCCGCUCUGGGUAAGUCGGGACCUAAGGCGAGGCCGAAAGGCGUAGUCGAUGGACAACAGGUAGAGAUUCCUGUACCCGUAUAUAUGUGAAGGAAUGACGGAGAGAGGAAGCUGCAGCCAGCGGCUGGAAGAGCUGGUGCAAGCGAGAUAUCGGGAUGGCAGGCAAAUCCACCAUCCGAAACGAGAAGGCGUGAAGCGUACGGAAAGCUACGGCGAGUACGGAAGGCAGUGGAGGAACUUCCAAGAAAAGUUUCUAACGUUAAGUAUAUAUGGCCCGUACCGAAAAUGGACACACAUGGGUGAGGAGAGAAUCCUAAGGUGAGCGAGAGAACUAUAGCUAAGGAACUCUGCAAAAUGACUCCGUAACUUAGGGAGAAGGAGUGCUCAUAGAGAUAUGAGCCGCAGUGAAACGGCCCAAGCGACUGUUUACCAAAAACACAGCUCUCUGCUAAGCCGCAAGGCGAAGUAUAGGGGGUGACGCCUGCCCGGUGCUGGAAGGUUAAGGGGAGGGGUUAACGCAAGUGAAGCCCUGAACUGAAGCCCCAGUAAACGGCGGCCGUAACUAUAACGGUCCUAAGGUAGCGAAAUUCCUUGUCAGGUAAGUUCUGACCCGCACGAAAGGCGUAACGAUUUGGGCGCUGUCUCAGCUGUAGACUCGGUGAAGUCUUAGUACCUGUGAAGAUGCAGGUUACCCGCGACUAGACGGAAAGACCCCAUGGAGCUUCACUGCAGGUUGAUAUUGGGAUUUGAUGCAGCAUGUACAGGAUAGGUAGGAGGCAAAGAGAUGGAUACGCCAGUAUUCAAGGAGCCGCUGUUGGGAUACUACCCCUGUUGUAUUGGAUUUCUAACCGGACGACGUAGAGCCGUUGACGGGACAGUGUCAGUCGGGCAGUUUGACUGGGGCGGUCGCCUCCCAAAGAGUAACGGAGGCGCCCAAAGAUACCCUCAGCUUGGAUGGAAACCAAGCGCAGAGUGCAAAGGCAAAAGGGUGUUUGACUGCGAGACCCACAAGUCGAGCAGGGACGAAAGUCGGGCUUAGUGAUCCGGCGGUGCUGAAUGGAAAGGCCGUCGCUCAACGGAUAAAAGCUACCCUGGGGAUAACAGGCUGAUCUCCCCCAAGAGUUCACAUCGACGGGGAGGUUUGGCACCUCGAUGUCGGCUCAUCGCAUCCUGGAGCUGAAGUCGGUUCCAAGGGUUGGGCUGUUCGCCCAUUAAAGCGGUACGCGAGCUGGGUUCAGAACGUCGUGAGACAGUUCGGUCCCUAUCUGUCGUGGGCGCAGGAAAUUUGAGAAGAGCUGUCCUCAGUACGAGAGGACCGGGAUGGACGCAUCAAUGGUGGACCAGUUGUCACGCCAGUGGCAUAGCUGGGUAGCUAAAUGCGGAAGGGAUAAACGCUGAAGGCAUCUAAGUGUGAAACCCACUUCAAGAUGAGAUUUCCCAUUGCGCAAGCAAGUAAGACCCCUUAAAGACGAUAAGGUAGAUAGGUCAGGAGUGUAAGCAUGGUGACAUGUUAAGCGGACUGAUACUAAUAGGUCGAGGGCUUGACCGA
rnacentral:rRNA from 1 species